rnacentral:rRNA from 1 species
CCUACGGGAGGCAGCAGUGAGGAAUAUUGGUCAAUGGGCGCGAGCCUGAACCAGCCAAGUCGCGUGAGGGAAGACGGUCCUAUGGAUUGUAAACCUCUUUUGUCGGGGAGCAAAAGACGCCACGCGUGGCGUUCCGAGAGUACCCGAAGAAAAAGCAUCGGCUAACUCCGUGCCAGCAGCCGCGGUAAUACGGAGGAUGCGAGCGUUAUCCGGGUUUAGUGGGUUUAAAGGGUGCGCAGGCGGAAGAUCAAGUCAGCGGUAAAAUUGAGAGGCUCAACCUCUUCGAGCCGUUGAAACUGGUUUUCUUGAGUGAGCGAGAGGUAUGCGGAAUGCGUGGUGUAGCGGUGAAAUGCAUAGAUAUCACGCAGAACUCCGAUUGCGAAGGCAGCAUACCGGCGCUCAACUGACGCUCAUGCACGAAAGUGUGGGGAUCGAACAGGAUUAGAUACCCCAGUAGUC